rnacentral:tRNA from 1 species
GGGGCUGUAGCUCAGUGGUAGAGUGCCUACCUAGCAUGCAUGAGGCACUGGGUUCGGUCCUCAGCACCA